AUUGAACGCUGGCGGCAGGCCUAACACAUGCAAGUCGAACGAGUGGCGGACGGGUGAGUAAUGUCUGGGAACCUGCCUGAUGGAGGGGGAUAACUACUGGAAACGGUAGCUAAUACCGCAUACCAUCAGAUGUGCCCAGAUGUGAUUAGCUUGUUGGUGGGGUAACGGCUCACCAAGGCGACGAUCCCUAGCUGGUCUGAGGGGAUGACGAGCCACACUGGAACUGAGGCACGGGCCAGACUCCGACGGGUGGAAGCAGUGGGGAAUAUUGCACAAUGGGCGCAAGCCUGAUGCAGCCAUGCCGCGUGUAUGAAGAGGGCCUUCGGGUUGUAAAGUCCUUUCAGCGGGGAGGCGUUACCCGCAGAAGAAGCGCCGGCUAACUCCGUGCCAGCAGCCGCGGUAAUUC
rnacentral:rRNA from 1 species